AACGAACGCUGGCGGCAUGCCUAACACAUGCAAGUCGAGCGAGACCUGCGGGCUUGGUGGCGCACUGGUGCGUAACCCGUUGGAAACUGCCCAUGGGUUCGGAUUAACUUCCGGAACGGGGUGUUAAUACCGGUUAAUGUCUUCGAACCAAAGAUUGAUCGCCUUGGGAUGGGCUUGCGUUGUAUUGGCUAGUUGGUAGGGUAAAAGCCUAUCAAGGCGAAGUUGCAUAGCUGGUUUGAGAGGAUGAUCAGCCACACUGGGACUGAGAGACGGCCCAGAUUCCUACGGGAGGGAGCAGUGGGGAAUAUGGGACAAUGGGCGAGAGCCUGAGCCAUCAAUGCCGCGUGGGUGAUGAAGGCCUGAGGGUUGUAAAGCUCUUUUACCCGGGAUGAUAAUGACAGUACCGGGAGAAUAAGCUCCGGCUAACUCCGUG
rnacentral:rRNA from 1 species